rnacentral:rRNA from 1 species
AGAGUUUGAUCAUGGCUCAGGAUGAACGCUAGCGGCAGGCUUAAUACAUGCAAGUCGAACUGGGAUUCAGUGUAGCAAUACAUUGAUGAGAGUGGCGCACGGGUGCGUAACGCGUAUGCAACCUACCUUUAACAGGGGAAUAGCCCCGAGAAAUCGGGAUUAAGUGUCCCAUAACAUUAAGCUGUGGCAUCACAGUUUAAUCAAAGCUGAGGCGGUUAAAGAUGGGCAUGCGUGACAUUAGCUAGUUGGUGAGGUAACGGCUCACCAAGGCCACGAUGUCUAGGGGUCCUGAGAGGGUUAUCCCCCACAUUGGUAUGAGACACGGACCAGACUCCUACUGGGAGGCAGCAGUAACGGAAUAUUGGUCAAUGGGCGCAAGCCUGAACCAGCCAUGCCGCGUGCAGGAAGACGGCCCUAUGGGUUGUAAACUGCUUUUGUCAGGGAAUAAACCUCCGUUCGUGAACGGAGCUGAAGGUACCUGAAGAAUAAGCAUCGGCUAACUCCGUGCCAGCAGCCGCGGUAAUACGGAGGAUGCAAGCGUUAUCCGGAUUCAUUGGGUUUAAAGGGUGCGCAGGCGGAUUGGUAAGUCAGGGGUGAAAUCCCACAGCUCAACUGUGGACCUGCCUUUGAUACUGCUAGUCUUGAGUAUAGUUGAAGUUGGCGGAAUGUGUCAUGUAGCGGUGAAAUGCUUAGAUAUGACACAGAACACCGAUCGCGAAGGCAGCUAGCUAAGCUAUAACUGACGCUCAUGCACGAAAGCGUGGGGAUCAAACAGGAUUAGAUACCCUGGUAGUCCACGCCGUAAACGAUGAUUACUCAAUGUUGGCGAUACACAGUCAGCGUCUGAGCGAAAGCAAUAAGUAAUCCACCCUGGGGAGUACGUUCGCAAGAAUGAAACUCAAAGGAAUUGACGGGGGCCCGCACAAGCGGAGGAGCAUGUGGUUUAAUUCGAUGAUACGCGAGGAACCUUAC